GGGGGAUAUUGCACAAUGGAGGAAACUCUGAUGCAGCGACGCCGCGUGAGUGAAGAAGGCCUUCGGGUCGUAAAGCUCUGUCCUAGGGGAAGAUAAUGACGGUACCCUAGGAGGAAGCCCCGGCUAACUACGUGCCAGCAGCCGCGGUAAUACGUAGGGGGCGAGCGUUGUCCGGAAUUACUGGGCGUAAAGAGUUCGUAGGCGGUCUGAUAAGUCAGAUGUGAAAGGCGUAGGCUUAACCUAUGUAAGCAUAUGAAACUGUCAGACUUGAGGUAAGGAGAGGAAAGUGGAAUUCCUAGUGUAGCGGUGAAAUGCGUAGAUAUUAGGAGGAAUACCAGUGGCGAAGGCGACUUUCUGGACUUAAACUGACGCUGAGGAACGAAAGCGUGGGGAGCAAAC
rnacentral:rRNA from 1 species